rnacentral:lncRNA from 1 species
CAGCCCUUGUAGCCUAGAAUGCCUUUCAAGUUUAUUUAGGGCCCUGGAGCACUUUAGCCUGUGGCAGUGAGGCUUGCAGGUUCUGACUGCUGGGAUUGGCGAUUUCCCUCUGGCUAGAGCUUGUUUAUAUGCUCCUUCCAUUGAUGGGCAUCAGCUGAGUUUUGUUCCAUUUUGUUUUCUGCUCUAACAGGGCAGCACUGAGUUCAAUGCCUCACAGUUGUUGCACUUUGCCUCUCUCCAGUGCACAGAAUCACUCUCCGCACCAUGCCACAGCUGCUUGGGAAUGGGGGAGGGAUGGUGUUUGUGAUUCAAGACUGUUUUUCCUACCUCUUCAAUGCCUCUUUCAGCAAUAUGAAGUUAAAACCAGACCACUUUCAUUACAUCGCCACUGCGAAUACCACCUGUACUGUGUCAAGUACAAAAAAAACUCCAGACUUGGCCCAGUCCGGAGGCACAAGCCCACUUGCGCCAGCAGCGCGCCUCAGCAAGACAGCAGAAGCAGGAAGAGAGCCGGCCGGAAGACACUUACCCUGGCCGGAAGACAUGUACCCCUGAGGAUCGCGAGAGGCCAUCCGGUUGCUGCGUAGCAGUCCCGUCAGACUGGAACACUUCCUGUUUACAGGACACUGUAAAACCCCUGCUCAGCACUCAUUUGGUGCUGACGCCAUUUUAGGUCUCAUACCGUCUGCACCCAGGCGCCCAAUAAAACAGCAUGUUGCUCCACACCACCUUGUGUUGUUUGUUGGCGCGCUCCCGGGGUUCAAACAGAUACAAGAACCUUUAAUCUGGUGCCGAAACCCAGGAGGGGCUCAGGUCUGUGUCCCCUGUGGGCCUACCCCUGCACCCCGGAGAGUAGGCCACAGCAGCCGGACAAAGGAAGCUCCUCAGUCUCCAAUCGCCUCUCUGUGCAUGCACAUCAGUCACUGAUCUUGCCUACCUGUAAGUUUCCCUGGAGCCCCAUUAACAGGGAAAAAUCCACACAGCUUCUCUUGGUUUCUCUGGCCCGAAAAUCCAACGUUGGUCCAAGAAGGCUCUGGCGUGUGCCAGGCACUCGCUGAUCAUCUGGUCUUAGGGGGUCGCCUCUAAGCCAUUUGAUCCCGUUCCAGGAACGAAAAAGGCAGCGGUGAUGACUGCUUCUUUUAUCGUCUCCCUCCAGCCAUGCAGGACGGUCUCCUUUUCCCUGUUCUCCUGAGCCUACCCUCUGUUAUGGGAAAUUCUCAGUCUUCCUUUCCAAAGGACAGCCCGCUAGGCUACCUCAUAAAAACCUGCAAACCUCAGGCCUCAGGCAAGAUAUCCGCCCUAAGCGCCUUGUCUUUUUUUCAAUUCAGUCUGGCCACAGUACCAACUAGAUAACGGGUCCAAAUGGCCCGCAAAUGGAACAUUCGACUUUACAGUUUUACCUGACUUAAGCAAUUAUUUCCGACGACUGGAGAAAUGGGGAGAGAUUCCUUAUGUCCUUCUGUCCAGGCCUUUUUGCACUCA